ACUUACGGCCAUACCAUCCUGAAUACGCCCGAUCUCGUCUGAUCUCGGAAGCUAAGCAGGGUCAGGCCUGGUUAGUACUUGGGUGGGAGACCUCCUGGGAAUACCAGGUGCUGUAAGUG
ensembl:rRNA 5S_rRNA 5S ribosomal RNA